rnacentral:rRNA from 1 species
GACGAACGCUGGCGGCGUGCUUAACACAUGCAAGUCGAACGGAAAGGCCCUGCUUUUGUUGGGUGCUCGAUUGGCGAACGGGUGAGUAACACGUGAGUAACCUGCCCUUGACUUUGGGAUAACUUCAGGAAACUGGGGCGAAUACCGGAUAGGAGCUCCUGCUGCAUGUUGGGGGUUGGAAAGUUUCGGCGGUUGGGGAUGGACUCGCGGCUUAUCAGCUUGUUGGUGUGGUAGUGGCUUACAAAGGCUUUGACGGGUAGCCGGCCUGAGAGGGUGACCGGGCACAUGGGGACUACGAGACGCAGCAGAAUCGUACGGGCGGCAGCAGUGGGGAAUCUUGCACAAUGGGCGGAAGCCUGAUGCAGCAACGCCGCGUGCGGGAUGACGGGCUUCGGGUUGUAAACAGAUUUCGAAUGUGCCGAAGAGUGAGUGACGGUAACGGGUCAAGAAGCCACGGCUAACUACGUG